UACGUAGGGUGCAGGCGUUAAUCGGAAUUACUGGGCGUAAAGCGUGCGCAGGCGGCUCCUUAAGUCAGAUGUGAAAGCCCCGGGCUUAACCUGGGAACUGCGUUUGGAACUGGGGAGCUAGAGUGUAGAAGAGGGGGGUGGAAUUCCAGGUGUAGCAGUGAAAUGCGUAGAGAUCUGGAGGAACACCGAUGGUGAAGGCAGCCCCCUGGGCUAACACUGACGCUCAUGCACGAAAGCGUGGGGAGUAAACAGG
rnacentral:rRNA from 1 species